UAGCAAAUAAGAGCCAAGAAGGACUUAAACCGGGUGCUAUUACGCAACCGGCAAGUCAUCCUUGGCUCAAAUAUACUA
rnacentral:pre_miRNA from 1 species